CCCUUAGAUGUCCGGGGCCGCACGCGCGCUACAAUGGAUGAAUCAACGCGUCAUCCUGGCCCGAAAGGGUUGGGGAACCGCUGAGCCUCAUCCGUGGUUGGGAUUGGGGUUUGUAAUUAUUCCCCAUGAACUAGGAAUUCCCAGUAAGCGCGAGUCAUAAGCUCGCGUUGAUUACGUCCCUGCCCUUUGUACACACCGCCCGUCGCUACUACCGAUUGGAUGGUUUAGUGAGAUCCUCGGAUUGGUCACGGCACGGUGGCAACACUGCGUCGGUGUGCCGAGAAGACGAUCAAACUUGAUCAUCUAGAGGAAGUAAAAGUCGUAACA
rnacentral:rRNA from 1 species